UACGUAGGGGGCGAGCGUUGUCCGGAUUUAUUGGGCGUAAAGAGCGUGUAGGCGGCUUUACAGGUCCGUUGUGAAAACUCGAGGCUCAACCUCGAGACGCCGGUGGAAACCGUAAGGCUAGAGUCCGGAAGAGGAGAGUGGAAUUCCUGGUGUAGCGGUGAAAUGCGCAGAUAUCAGGAGGAACACCCGUGGCGAAAGCGGCUCUCUGGGACGGUACUGACGCUGAGACGCGAAAGCGUGGGGAGCGAACAGG
rnacentral:rRNA from 1 species